CCUACGGGCGGCAGCAGUGGGGAAUAUUGGACAAUGGGCGAAAGCCUGAUCCAGCCAUGCCGCGUGUGUGAAGAAGGCCUUCGGGUUGUAAAGCACUUUCAGUGGGGAAGAAAGCCUUGGGGCUAAUACCCUCGAGGAAGGACAUCACCCACAGAAGAAGCACCGGCUAACUCCGUGCCAGCAGCCGCGGUAAUACGGAGGGUGCGAGCGUUAAUCGGAAUUACUGGGCGUAAAGCGCGCGUAGGCGGUCUGAUAAGCCGGUUGUGAAAGCCCCGGGCUCAACCUGGGAACGGCAUCCGGAACUGUCAGGCUAGAGUGCAGGAGAGGAAGGUAGAAGUCCCGGUGUAGCGGUGAAAUGCGUAGAGAUCGGGAGGAAUACCAGUGGCGAAGGCGGCCUUCUGGACUGACACUGACGCUGAGGUGCGAAAGCGUGGGUAGCAAACAGGAUUAGAUACCCUAGUAGUC
rnacentral:rRNA from 1 species